rfam:Oryza sativa Japonica Group DNA, chromosome 3, cultivar: Nipponbare, complete sequence.
AAUAAGCGUAAUUAUAGGUUUCAGUGUCCAACUUUAUCUAACAAUCUUAUUUAAAAUAUUUUAAUGAUUAGUAUUUUUUUUAUUGUUAUUAGAUGAUAAAAUAUGAACAGUACUUUAUGCGUGUCUUAACUUUUAAAAAAAAUUCAUAAACUUUUUAAAUAAGACGGACAAUUAAAUGUUGGGCACGUAAACUUAUAGCUGCACGUAUA